GCAUAACGCGAAGAACCUUACCAGAGCUUGACAUCUCCUGCAUAGUCCGUAAUGGGAUGAAAUCCUUCGGGACAGGAAGACAGGUGGUGCAUGGUUGUCGUCAGCUCGUGUCGUGAGAUGUUGGGUUAAGUCCCGCAACGAGCGCAACCCUUAUACUUAGUUGCCAUCAUUAAGUUGGGCACUCUAAGUAGACUGCCGGAGACAAUUCGGAGGAAGGUGGGGAUGACGUCAAAUCAUCAUGCCCCUUAUGUUCUGGGCUACACACGUGCUACAAUGGGUAUAACAACGGGAAGCAAGCCAGUGAUGGUGAGCAAAUCCCUAAAAAAUACUCCCAGUUCAGAUUGUUCUCUGCAACUCGAGAACAUGAAGUCGGAGUUGCUAGUAAUCGCGAAUCAGCAUGUCGCGGUGAAUACGUUCCCGGGUCUUGUACACACCG
rnacentral:rRNA from 1 species